GUGACGAAGCGACGCCGCGUGCGGGAAGAAGGCCUUCGGGUUGUAAACCGCUGUCGGGAGUUAAGAAAUGCAAGGAUGUUGAUAGCAUCUUUGCUUGACUAAGGCUCCGGAGGAAGCCACGGCUAACUCUGUGCCAGCAGCCGCGGUAAUACAGAGGCGGCAAGCGUUGUUCGGAAUUAUUGGGCGUAAAGAGCACGUAGGCGGCUAUGUAAGUCGGUUGUGAAAGCCUUCCGCUCAACGGGAGAACAGCAUCCGAUACUGCAUGGCUUGAGUGCGGGAGGGGAGAGUGGAACUUCUGGUGGAGCGGUGAAAUGCGCAGAUAUCAGAAGGAACGCCGGCGGCGAAAGCGGCUCUCUGGCCCAUAACUGACGCUGAGUGUGCGAAAGCUAGGGGAGCAAACGGGAUUAGAUACCCCGGUAGUCCUAGCCGUAAACGAU
rnacentral:rRNA from 1 species